ACGCACGCUGGCGGCGUGCUUAACCCCUGCCAGUCGCACCGAAAGGCCCUGCUUUUGUGGGGUGCUCGAGUGGCGAACGGGUGAGUAACACGUGCGUAACCUGCCCUUGACUUUGGGAUAACUUCAGGAAACUGGGGCUAAUACCGGAUAGGAGCUCCUGCUGCAUGGUGGGGGUUGGAAAGUUUCGGCGGUUGGGGAUGGACUCGCGGCUUAUCAGCUUGUUGGUGGGGUAGUGGCUUACCAAGGCUUUGACGGGUAGCCGGCCUGAGAGGGUGACCGGCGACAUUGGGACUGAGAGACGGCCCAGACUCCUACGGGAGGCAGCAGUGGAGAAUAUUGCACAAUGGGCGGAAGCCUGAUGCAGCAACGCCGCGUGCGGGAUGACGGCCUUCGGGUUGUAAACCGCUUGCGCCUGUGACGAAGCGUGAGUGACGGUAAUGGGUAAAGAAGCACCGGCUAACUACGUG
rnacentral:rRNA from 1 species